UUUAGAGACUAAAAAAAAGGGCUGAAAAACACUAAAAUUUCAGAAGCAACUGAAUCCCUUUUCAAAUUCCAAAAAGUACUGAAAAUUGCUCAAAUUGGUUUUGGUUGUUUUGGUUCUCUGAAUCCUUUGCUUGGCUUAGAACUUUUGAAGAACUCCAAAAAUCGUGCAUCUGGGUAAAAAUGGCUCGAGUUUGAGUUUAGAUGUUUGGUUUGAAUUGCUUGGGGUUUGGUUUCUGAAGUUUGGGUUUUGAUUUGCUGAUUAACACUGUUACAUUGCUGAUUCUGUUGUUGUUGUUGUUAAUUCUUCAUUACCUUCGAUUCCUUCUUAAUUUUCAGGUACUUUCUUUAAACCAUGACUGGAAAUGAAUCUUGAUUAAGCUAUCGUG
rnacentral:lncRNA from 1 species